rnacentral:rRNA from 1 species
UACGUAGGGGGCUAGCGUUGUCCGGCAUCAUUGGGCUUAAAGAGCGUGUAGGCGGUCCGGUAAGUCCGCUGUGAAAGUCGGGGGCUCAACCCUCGAAUGCCGGUGGAUACUGUCGGGCUAGAGUGCGGAAGAGGCGAGUGGAAUUCCUGGUGUAGCGGUGAAAUGCGCAGAUAUCAGGAGGAACACCUAUUGCGAAGGCAGCUCGCUGGGACGUUACUGACGCUGAGGUGCGAAAGCGUGGGGAGCAAACAGG